AACGGUCUAUACCUGCGGUACCUGCGGAGGGAUCAUUCGUAUUCAUACCGCCCAGCCAUGGAUUCGUCCGAGUGCUGGGCAUUUUCGCACCUACACAACUGUUGUUGGUGGCUGUGGCGGGUUUCGCUGCAGUCGCUUUGUGCUGGCUGAGCAGAGGCGCAGUUGCGCCGCUUGUAAUUAUUUACUACACAACUUUCAACAAUGGAUCUCU
rnacentral:misc_RNA from 1 species